rnacentral:rRNA from 1 species
ACGGGAGGCAGCAGUGGGGAAUAUUGGACAAUGGGGGAAACCCUGAUCCAGCGACGCCGCGUGAGUGAAGAAGUAUUUCGGUAUGUAAAGCUCUAUCAGCAAGGAAGAAAAUGACGGUACUUGACUAAGAAGCUCCGGCUAAAUACGUGCCAGCAGCCGCGGUAAUACGUAGGGGGCAAGCGUUAUCCGGAUUUACUGGGUGUAAAGGGAGCGUAGACGGUUUGGCAAGUCUGAAGUGAAAGCCCGGGGCUCAACCCCGGUAUUGCUUUGGAAACUGUUGAACUAGAGUGCCGGAGGGGUAAGCGGAAUUCCUAGUGUAGCGGUGAAAUGCGUAGAUAUUAGGAGGAACACCAGUGGCGAAGGCGGCUUACUGGACGGUAACUGACGUUGAGGCUCGAAAGCGUGGGGAGCAAACAGGAUUAGAUACCCUGGUA